rnacentral:rRNA from 1 species
UGACCUCAGAUCAGACAAGGAUACCCGCUGAACUU